rnacentral:rRNA from 1 species
AACGAACGCUGGCGGCAGGCUUAACACAUGCAAGUCGAGCGCCCCGCAAGGGGAGCGGCAGACGGGUGAGUAACGCGUGGGAAUCUACCCAUCUCUACGGAAUAACGCAUGGAAACGUGUGCUAAUACCGUAUACGUCCUUCGGGAGAAAGAUUUAUCGGAGAGGGAUGAGCCCGCGUUGGAUUAGCUAGUUGGUGGGGUAAAGGCCUACCAAGGCGACGAUCCAUAGCUGGUCUGAGAGGAUGAUCAGCCACACUGGGACUGAGACACGGCCCAGACUCCUACGGGAGGCAGCAGGGGGGAAUAUUGGACAAUGGGCGCAAGCCUGAUCCAGCCAUGCCGCGUAAGUGACGAAGGCCCUAGGGUUGUAAAGCUCUUUCACCGGUGAAGAUAAUGACGGUAACCGGAGAAGAAGCCCCGGCUAACUUCGUGCCAGCCGCCGCCGUAAAAC